GAUCAUGGCUCAGAGUGAGCGCUGGCGGCAGGCCUAAUACAUGCAAGUCGAACGGCAGCACAGCAGAGCUUGCUCUGUGGGUGGCGAGUGGCGGACGGGUGAGGAAUACAUGGGAAUCUGCCCAGUCGUGGGGGAUAACGUAGGGAAACUUACGCUAAUACCGCAUGCGCCCUUCGGGGGAAAGCCGGGGACCGUAAGGCCUGGCGCGAUUGGAUGAGCCCAUGUCGGAUUAGCUAGUUGGCGGGGUAAAGGCCCACCAAGGCGACGAUCCGUAGCUGGUCUGAGAGGAUGAUCAGCCACACUGGAACUGAGACACGGUCCAGACUCCUACGGGAGGCAGCAGUAGGGAAUAUUGGACAAUGGGCGCAAGCCUGAUCCAGCCAUGCCGCGUGAGUGAAGAAGGCCCUCGGGUUGUGAAGCUCUUUUGUCCGGAAAGAAAAGCGCCGGGUUAAUACCCUGGUGUCCUGACGGUACCGGAAGAAUAAGCACCGGCUAACUUCGUG
rnacentral:rRNA from 1 species